rnacentral:lncRNA from 1 species
CAAAAUGGGAACAUUGGUCUUACCAUUUGGGGUUGCCAUAGAAUUUCUCUCUUCGUUUUUUUUGUUGAUAAAGGGAUUUUCUUUCUCCCCAGUUACAUUAGCGAAACCAUAGCAAUCCUUACAUGGGAGACAGAAAACAGCAUGCCCGCGUGUGAUUCUUCUGCCUAUAGUAUGAUUACUUGUCACCAGAUCACAUAUCUUGCACUUUUUUUAACUCAAACUACACGCAUAUAUAUAAUUUGGAAAAUUCCAAAGAAACAAAACUUUCAAAAACAUCAACUCUAUUGCAUGAAAUCAUCAACAUCUCGGCAUAUUUACAAGAUACUCCUGAGCUUUGACUACGACAACGCGCCAUUAUUUUGCUGACUUACUCAAAAUAAACAACGGGGUACUACGAGCACAUAGCUGGUCAGUUUGGAACACACAGAGUUUCUUUUCCAGCUAGCUUCUGCACAAGUGAAAAAAAAAGGAUUGUCAGUAAAAAAAACAUCAAUGAGAUGUCAAUAGAACGAAAUUUCUAAUGGGAUUUUUAUCAAUCAAUGAGUAUAUGAAUAGAAGAAAAAUGAAGUAUGGCAAUUGCAGUAUGUGAGAAAAUACAAAAGAUAAAUACAUCAUUAAUCAUGCCGUGGACCAAUUUUGAACAUCCUACAAAAAUCGGACACAUCCAUGGGGAAAAACAUAGCUGUGUGAAGACAGCAAUUCAAUAUCUACAUACUCUUGCUGUCUAUAGAUAUAGCUCAUUUCCUUCUUUAUGUUAAGGUCAAGCAGUCAGUGUUAAAGAACAUAUCUAAAUUAAAUAAUUCCCAGUGUUUUUCUAUGUCAUAGCAAAGUCUUUUAGCUUUGACAUAAUUUGGUUUGUACCUUGGCUAAUAUACUGUUACCUCUUGAAGUGAAGUUCAGCAAAACUGGGGUAACUAGGUAUAAGAGCUCCAAGCAAGGAGCUGACUUUUUUUAAUUUACUUGGUUACUAACUUACUAAUGAAAUAUUUUUGCAGUUAACCACAUGACUCACUUUUGGUAUUAAGUCCGUAUAAUUGUAAAUGUAGUAAGUAAAUAACUUAUUCUAGUGUCUAAUGUAUGUGCUCAUUUUAGUUUUAAAUUUUCACAGUUUAGAGUUUCUAUAUGCAUUGAUAAAAUGACUGAUUUCAAAAUUUUGUAGACAGUUCGAUAAGCAGCAUAAGCGAAUAGAUAAGUAAUUCACUCAGAAAUUGAUUCUCCUCUACCCGGGUUCAGUAAUAAAUAAAGUAAUGUCUUGCAUAUAUGUUUUAUCUUGUUACCUCAAUUAAACACUUAGCGCAAUGAAUUCAUAUUUUUUAUUCAUAACGAACAACAGAAACUAUCCAGAUUUGUUCUUGAGCGGCAAACCUAGUUAGCUGUUUUUCACUUCCUUCAUUUCUUUAUGCAAGACAUCAUGCAUCACAAGAUUCAAGUUUGACCAACAAUUAGAUCAAUAAAAUGUGGGUUAUAUGACAAAGAGAUAAUACCAUUGGAAAAAGCUUUUCAGUACAAACCCAAUGAUAUCAUUUUCUUUGUCAAAUAAACAACAUUUUAUUAAUCUAAUUGUCAGCCAAACUUGAACCCUGACAUGCUAAAUAUCUCACAAAAAGAAAACCUACUGAGUGUUUUUCACUUGAAAACCUACUGCUUGUUAUACAUGGUGUAUCUCUGUGUUCUUAAGCAUUGGUAUAAUACUAACUGCACAAAGUAUCAUCUCCCAUCUUCAGAGUUAAUGACAAUCUGGAAAGAUGAGAGAUAAUAUUUUGUAAUGUUAGCCAUGCAUAAACUCAAAUGGGAGCCUUGGCACAGUGGUAAAGCUGCUACCUUGUGACCAUGAGUUCAAGUCCUGGAAACAGCCUCUUAAAGGAAUGUAGGGGAAAGGCUGCAUACAAUAGACCCAAAGUGGUCGGACCCUGCGCAAGCGGGAGCUACAUGCACCGGGCUGCCCUUUUUUAGCCAUGCAUAAACUCGUAAGGAAGAGAACAAAAAAAGUGAAGUGCUAGUGUGCACCUUUGUUGUUGUCCGAUAAUUAUUAUUUUUGCCUCAAAUACUUCCACAUAAUAAACUACUCCCUCCAUUCCAAAUUACUCGUCAUGGUUUUAGUUCAAAUUUGAACUAAAACCACGACGAGUAAUUUGGAACGGAGGGAGUAAAAUGUUAAACUAAAACCACGACAAGUAAUUUGGAACGGAGGGAGUAAAAUGUUAAACUAAAACCACAACAAGUAAUUUGGAACGGAGGGAGUAAAAUGUUAACUACUACCUGUCCUGUGCUAGACAAAGUUAUUAGAAUUGCAUCUCUGGCAAUAAGUCUCACCUAGAAUAAAAACAUCACACCUUAAUGAAUUAUUUUCUCAUUCACACAUUAUGCGAUAGUAUAUUAAUAACCACACAAAUUUGUCAUAGUAUGGAUACCUGUGAGAAUAACAGGAAAGCUAAGGUAUGCAGUGCACUAUGUACUAUGUUAGUCUCUUUCUAAAGAAUAGAAACAAGGUAUUUUUUUUCUCAGAUAGAUAGUACUUUGUGUACAUAUUGGUACACUAAUGCUCAAGACCAGAAAAAAAAAACCAUUGUACCCUCCAUCCAAAAUAAGUGUCUCAACUUUGUACUAGCUCUAGUACAAAUUUGUACUAAGCUCAAGACACUUAUUUUGGGACAGAGGGAGUACAUGAUUAACCAGAAUAUCUACUGAAAAUAAUAAACAUUCUAGACAAAAUAUUAACUAGGUACAUAACCAAGAGGUCAUUAAAUAAUGUAUCACAAUUGCUUUGACUAUACUAACCCCUCCAAACCUCACAGCACAACUCAAGAUUCAAUUACAGCACCUUCCAUUCGAAGCUUUCAGAUGCUCAAACUAACUGGAAGUUGAAAUGAUUUUUCAUUUAAUACUCAAAAUAAUUAAGUUCAAGAAACCGAGUUCAUGGUUGAACAUGAGGUACUGGCAGCUAAACAUUCCGAAGGUGCUUAUCAAACAACUCCUGAUGUGCAUCAUUCCAAUCAUGAACAACUCAAUAAAUUGGAAGCAAUAUUUACAAUUAAAUUAGCAGAUUUAAAUGCAAACAUCGUUAAUCAUGGUACGGACAAAUUUUGACCAUCCUACGCAGAUCCCACACAUCCAUGGGGAAAAACGUAGCUGUGUGAAGACAACAGUUCAAUAUCUACAUACUCUUGCUGUCUACAGAUAGGUUGCUUCCUUUUUUAUAUCAAGGUCAAGCAGUUAAUGUUAAAGAAAACAUACCUAAAUUAAAAUAAUUCCCAGUAUUUUUGCAUGUUAUAGCAAAGUCUUUUCGCUUUGGCAUAAUUUGUUUGGUUAAUUCCUUGGCUGAUAUAGUGUUACCUCUUGCAGUGUAGUUCAGAGAAACCAGGCAAACUAGGUAUGAGAGCUCCGAGCAAGGAGCUGACCUUUUGAAUUUACUUGGUUACUGACUUAUAGAAUGAAAUAUUUUUGCAGUUAACCACAUGACUAACUUUUGGUAUGAAGUCCGUGCAAUUGUAAAUGCAGCAUGUAAAUAACUUAUUCUAGUGUCUAAUUUAUGUGCUCUGCUCAUUUAGUGUUAAAUUUUCAUAGUUAUAGAGUUUCUACAUGUCCAUUGAUAAAAUGACUGAUUCAAAUAGUGUAGACAGUUAGUUCAAUAAGUAGCAUAGGUGAAUAGAUAAGAAAUAACUUCACUCAGAAAUUGAUUCUCCUCUACCUGGCUUCAAGUUAAUAAACGAAGUAAUGUCUUACAUAUAUGUUUUAUUAUCUUGUUACCUCAACUUAACAUUUAGAGCAAUGAAUUUAUAUUUUUUAUGUGUAAAGAAAAUGAAUUAAUAUUUCUUAUUAGUAAUGAAAAUAAGAAACUAUCAGGAUUUGUUUUUUAGCAGCAAACCUAGUUGGUUAUUUUCCACUCCUUUCUUUAUGCAAGAUGUCAUGCAUCACAAGAUUCAAGUUUGACCAACAAUUAGAUCAAUAAAACGUGGGUUAUAUGACAAAGAGAAAAUACCAUUGGAAAACGCUUAAGUGCGAACCCAAUGCUAUAAUUUUCUUUGUCAAGUAAAGAACAUUUCAUUAAUCUAAUUGUCAGCCAAACUUGAAUCAUGAAAUGCUAAAUAUCUCAGAAAAAGAAAACCGAGUGAGUGUUUUUCACUUGAUAUACAAAUGUAUUUCAUAGCCUGUUAUACCACGGUGUAUCGUUUUGUUCUUACGCAUUAGUAUCUUACUAACCACACAAAGUAUCAUCUCUCAUCUUCUGAUUUAAUGACAAUUGGAAAUAUGACAGAUAAUAUUUUGUGAUGUUAACCAUGCAUAAACUCUUAUUUUUUGUUUGUAAGGAACCAGAAAAAUAUCAGGAUUUGUUUGAAAAACAACAAAACUAGUUAGUUGUUUUUCACUCCCUCCAUUUCUUUAUGCGGACGCCAUGCAUCACAAGAUUUAAGUUUGACCAAAAACUAGAUCAAUAAAACAUGGUUUACAUGACAAAAAAGGUAAUAUCAUUCGAAAACGCUUUUGUAUGAACCCAAUGAUACCAUUUCUCUGUUGAAUAAACAACAUUUCAUUAAUCUAAUUGUCAGCCAAAAUUAAAUCCUGAAAUACUAGACGUCUUACAAAAUCAAAUAGAGAGUGCUUUUAACUCAAUUGUAUCUCAAAGCUUGUUAUACAAUGGUGUAUCUUUGUGUUCUUAAGCAUUAGUAUAAUAUACUACCUAGACAAAGUAUCAUUUCCCAUCUUCAGAUUUAAUGACAAUCUGGAAAGAUGAGAUAAUAUUUUGUGAUGUUAGCCAUGCAAAAACUCUAAGGAAGAGAACAAAAGGAAGUGAAGUGCUAGUGUGCACCUUUGUCGUUGUACUACAAUUGUUUUCUUGCCUCGCAUAGUUUCACAUAAUAAACUAAAAUGUUAACUACUACUCCCUCUGUCCGAAAAUAUUUGUCAUCAAAAAGAAUAAAAAGGGAUGUAUCUAGAUGUAUUUUAGCUCUAGAUGCAUCCCUUUUCAUCCAUUUUGAUGACAAGUAUUUUCGGACGGAGGGAGUACCUGUCCUGUGCUAGACAAUCUAGUGUAUCUGAUAGUUUUGUCAAGUUAUUAGAAUUCACUAUUAGUUGAAAUUGCUUCUCUGGCCAUAAGUCUCACCAACAAUAAAAACCUCAUGCCAUACUGAAUUAUUUUCACAUUACAUAUACUAAAAUGCUUUUCAUCCUGGCCUUGCCUAUGAGAUGCAUAUUUGCAAAUAUUUAGCUGUGAGAAUAACAGGAAAACUAAGGUACACAGUGCACUAUGUACUACGUUAGGUUUCUUUCUCAUUUGCUUCAGGAUGAUGAGAUAGAUAGUGCUUUGUGUAAUUAGUGAUACAUUAAUGCUCAAGAACAGAGAAAAACACCGUGGUAUAACAAAGCUACAUGAUAAACCAGAAUAUCUACUGAAAAUAAUAAAUGUUGUAGACAAAAUCCUAACUAGGUAUAUAACCAAGAGGCCACAUUAAACAAUCUAUCACUAUUGCUUUGACUAUACUCACACCUCCAAACCUCAUGAUUCAAUUACAGCACCUCCCUUUGAAGCUUUCAGAUGCUCAAAUUAAC